GUGCUUGCUUCAAAAGCACAUAUACAGAAACUGGAACAGAACAGAGAUUAACAUUGCUCUUGCAUAAGGAUAACAUGUGAAUUCAUGAAACACUUCAUUUUUUU